rnacentral:lncRNA from 1 species
AAUUAUUCAUUUUAAAUGUGUUUCUUAAAAAUAGCUGAUAGCUAUAUUUUGCUUUGUAAAUUCACAAUAUAUAAAUAAAAUCACUGAUGUGGGUAGGAAAACAAAAUGUGUUUAAAAUAUUGGUACCCACAAGCACAUGAUUCUAAAGGAGAAAGGUUUUAUUAUAGUUGUUGUUACUUUCUGGGUCAGCUCAAAAAGUCUUGUUUAUUUUGGAAAAUAUACGUUAAUGGGCAAAAUGAAAAGGAAAGUAGAAGACUGCAAAAAAGAAAGAUUUGGUGAUAUCACAAAAACUGAACAGCUUUCCUCCAGCUCACAGACCAAACUAUCAAAUUCCUACAUCAACUUUCUGUGUGACCCUACAGACCCUACAUCUGUGUACAAGAUGUCCUUGGACUCUAUGGUAGAGUGGCCAGAUCUAGCAAAGAGAAAUAUGUUAAAUUUGAAUUUCAGAUAAAUAAUGAAUAUUAUUUUCUUAAGAUUUAUUUAUUUAUUUGUGAUAGAGAGACCACGUGCAGGGGUGGGAGGGGAGAGUUUCAAGUAGACUCUGUCCUGAGUGUAGAGCCUGCAGUGAAGCUCAAUCUCAUAACCCUGAGAUCAUGACAUGAACCAAGAUCAAGAGAUGGAUGCUCAACCAACUGUACCACCCAGGCACUCCAACAAUGAAUACUUUUUUUUUUUUUUUUUUUUUUUUUUUUUUUACUGUGUGUUCCAUGCAAUACUUGGGACAUAUUUAAACUAAAAUAAAGAAAAAAUUAUGUAUAUUGCUUAUGUGAAAUUGAGAUUGAACUGGGUGUUCUGUAUUUUUAUCAAGCAACCCUAUUCUAAGGGAAUCUCAUUACAGGGCUUUCUUUAUGGCUUUAUCUAGGAGCCUCCAGUGCACUAGACAGUGAGUAGCACAUCCUGGGAAGACCCUGGCACUCAGAGACUUGUAGAGAGUACCUCUUAGAGUGGGAAAACAAUACCCUUUGGCAUUGACCCUGUGUACAUUUGGUCCCUGAAGCCCCACAUGCUGAGAGGAACUAGCAACUGGACCACAUCUUCCAUGACUCUGAAAGCUAGAGAAAUCAGAACAGGUAGGCUUCCUCCAGGUAUUGCAGCUGCAAACUGGCAAUAUGCCUGACUCCAUAUCUGAGGCCAGGCCUCAGGGGAGAAGAAGCCAGUUGGAAUUCUACAACUGGCAUACGGUAACCAUACCCUCUGACUAUUAUGCUUGAGCCCUAAAAUGUUAAAAAAAAAAUAGAGACCUAACCACCCUCUUGGCACCUGAGAAUGUCAGAACACACAGAACACAUGUAAGGAAAAGCUGAAAAUCCACACUUAAAGUAAUAAUAAUAGAACUUAAAAAAAUUAAAGUUCAGCACACCAAUCCAAUUUAACAUAACUGUUCAUAGUUUAACAAGUCAGUGGAUGAACUAAAAUUGGAAAGGACAGUGUUGAAAGCUAUGUUAAUGGCCUAGAAGGUAAAAUAGGAGAAAAAUACCUCAGAGUGGAGGCAAAGAAUAGAGAGAAAAGAAUAAAGAGGAAAAAAGAAUUUAACAUUGAAUCAUGAGAGCUGCUCAAGGAAAAAAAAGAUGGAGGAGAGGCAUUAACUAUAUCAUAAGAGACAACCAUAUCCCUAAAUCGAAGAAAGUGCUAAGUUCAUAGAUGCAAAGAUUUCACUGAAUUGUAGAGGAAAGGUACUUAUCUAGGUAUAACACUAUUACCCAUGCAAAAGAGACAGGGGUAACAAUGACAUUGCAUACUUCAUUUGCAGCACUGGAGGCUAGAAGUAGUGGACAGCAUUAUUAUCUGUGGGCUGCUAGGAAAAUCAGACUUGAGCUCUCAGGAGAUUACAUGAAGAUUUCCAACUUAUUUGGGUCUUUACCUUCAUAAGUUUACAGGCCCAGACACCAGGACUUUGACUUGUGGGAGACCAGAAUAAGUCACCCCAAAAUACGCUUCUUUGGCAUGAAUAUAAUUUUGAGCUGAUUAUUUUGAAAAACAGCAGGCACAAGAGAAGCUCUGAAGAUGAACUGAGUGUCCCUGUGUAAGGGAAAUUUACAUUUUGUAAAGGAAAUAUCCACUUGUAGGGGUGUUUCUCUCUCUGUACCAGGAAGAGAAGGAUGACUCUCCAUCACAGAAGAUACCACUCAAAUCUGCAUAGCAACCUUUACUCUUGUUUGCUACACUUUUCUUGGUUUCCUUCUUACACCUUGCCUCCCUGUUCUUAGCUUAAGAUAUAUGUGCCUAAGUUAUAAACUUCCCUUUGAGCUACUCAUGCCUGAAUUACUCCCAUGUAUCUAUGAGACAUACAUAGUAAUACAUUUCUGUUUAUUUUACUCUUGUUAACCUGACUUUUGUUAUAGAAACCCAGUAGAGAAUCUAGAAGGGUCAAAUCAAAAACGAUUUUUUCUCCUCUACAUAUUCAACCAGGGACAUCCACCUCUGUCUCCCUUAGUGCCUACAGAUGAGACACCUGUUUCUCUUAGGGCCCUUUGUCUGGACCAUUCUCUGGACUUCCAACUCAAACCAGAGAUUUACUCUGUGCCUGCAUGGAAGAUACUUUAUACAUGACUUCUGUUUAAAAUUUAGGAAUGUCUCAUCCUGUGAUACCACCUAUCCCAGCCAGCCUUAGUUAUCCUCCAUAUCAUCGCUGCAUCCCAAUGCUGCCCUAUUCAUUCUUUCCAAUCUCUAUGUGUUCCUAUUCACCUAUUUUCUAUUUUCAUGAUUAACUAUUCACAGAAUAUUCCCUCCCCCUAGCUUUUGUUUGAGGAUACUAUUUCCCCAGAAGCUCUAUUAUGCUAAAUGCUGCUAUUUUCCAAAAAUCUCUGGUUUGGGAGAGGAUCAAAAACCUUGCUCCUCAGUGCUUUUCCAGUUCAUUACACUUCUGCUCUCCUGUAUCCAUCCCCACUCCUCUGCCCACAGCCAUCUGGCUAUACUACCCAUUUCUCCCACCUGGUCCCUUUCACAUGCUGACCUCCUGGUCAUUUCUCCCAAAUUAGCUGAAAGCAUUAGCAUCUAGCUCACAUUCCCUUCUAAUGACUAAAUAUUUAAACCUAUAUGGUCAUUUCUGUGAAAAUAUUUUAUUCAAUGUUUGUAAUUUCUUAAGGUUUUCCAAAAGACAUAGAACUAUUUUAAUUGUUUAGUACUCCAUAAACUCAACAGAGAGAGCAAAGAAACCACACAGAGCCAAUGUUUUAAGCAUUAUUGGGAGACAAGGAAAUGCAACUUUAUAAUUACCUGUAAGCAGAGAAAAAAAAAAAACCCUAAUGGCAUGCUCACUACCAACUCUGUGCUGCAAAUCUGUGGGUACAGAGAGCAGAAGAAGACCAGUAAUUCUCCAUGAGUAAGAAUAGAAGAGAGUGAAAGACUGAGAUUAAGCAUAAGACAAAAUCAUUCAGAAAGAAAAUGCUCAGCCAUAAGUGAUAACAUAUUGAACAUAUGUCAGAAUGGUAGCUCACAGAACUGACUACAGGAAAGGAACUUGAAAGUGCAUAGGACCAGGAGGGGCAGCCUCAAAGAUGUCUUGCUUCUGAAACAGAAUCAGACAUAUUAAGAAGGUGUAACCUUUAGAGACAAAACAGUAAGUACAAAAGAGUUUGGCAAAAAUAAGGAUCUUGCAGAAAUGAAAGAGAAAUAUAAUAGUCCACUCAAGGAUGGGAUUCAUCCAACUAAAGAUGAGAUUCAUCCAACUAAAGAUGAUUGAAAAUGUUGACAAAGCAAGAAAUGGUAACUUCCAUGACUAUUUCAUACUUUCCUUCAUGAGUAUUUCAUAUAGUGUAGCAAAGGGUAAAGCCAGGAUGAGGUUAGAGGCAGAAUCAGAAUGUGUGUAUAUAUGUGUAUGCACACAUGUUGUGUGUACAUGUUUAUACACAUCCAUGUAGUUCCUAGUUCUGUCUGUCAAAAGAUACAUAUAUGGAGAAAGAAAGAACACAUUAUAAAGCAAAUGGUAAAAAUAGAUAAAUUUGGUUAAGAGAUACAUACAUGUUUUCUUUGUGCUAGUCUUAUUCAUACAGGUCCAGUUUGAAAUUAUUUCCUAAUAAAAUUUCAUACACAUAAAAAGCAGUAAGUCUUUUAAGUUUACCAAAGACCUCAACUUCUAGAGGGAGAAGGAGUUAAAGUACAUUUAAAAGCCUGAUGGAGGGGAACCUGGGUGGAUUAGUGGUUGGGCAUCUGCCUUUGGCUCGGGUUGUAAUCCUGGGGUCCUGGGUUUGAGUCCUGCAUCAGGCUCCUCGCAUGGAGCCUGCUUCUCCCUCUGCCUAUGUUUCUGCCUCUCUCUGUGUGUCUCUCAUGAAUAAAUAAUUAAAAUCUCUUUAAAAAAUAGAUAUAAAAGCCUGACUGAGACACAUGUGCUCCUAUAUGGCCUCUGAUAUUUGCACUGUAAAAUGUUUGUAGGUCAACUUGAAGAAGAUGAUGGGAAAUAACAUCAGACAUUAUAUGCUAUUUGAGGACUUGGCUGAUUGUAAGGUUUGUGUAAAUGAUUAUAAGGAAUGCUAAAAAUUAAGGUUUUUGAAAACAGCUUCUUAAUCAAUAUCUCUUUUGUCAUCUAUUUUGUUCAGUGUCAACAGUGACAACUCCAAUUCUAUGAAAAAGGUGACAGGGAUGCAGAGCUAAAAUUUCACUACUUUUCUGGCAGACAUUAGAAGCUAGGUUUGAAAAAAAAAAGUUUUCUUCAAUAUCUUACUCUGAGAGAUGUAUAUGAAAUGUCCUUGUGUCUGAAAUCCUUUUUUAAAAAAAAUCAGAUAAAUCAGAACUCGAUUCGUUUAUAUGUUGACUGUUAUUCUGUCAACUUUCCUUUUAAUGAUAAACAGUAUUUUUUUUUUUUUGCAAAAUACUAAAUCCUUCAAAGAUUCUUGAGGAAAUAUUUUAAAACCACUCAGCAUACUAUGUAGUCUCAGGGUAGCUUUUUCAGAGUUUUAUAUAUACAAAAAGUUGUUCAUUCUCAGAUCUCUAUGCCAAAAUG